AACGUAGGUGGCAAGCGUUGUCCGGAUUUACUGGGCGUAAAGAGCGCGCAGGCGGUCGUUCAAGUCGCGUGUGAAAGCCCCCGGCUCAACUGGGGAGGGUCACGCGAUACUGAUCGACUGGAAGGCAGGAGAGGGUAGUGGAAUUCCUGGUGUAGCGGUGAAAUGCGCAGAUAUCAGGAAGAACACCCGUGGCGAAAGCGGCUCUCUGGAACGGUACUGACGCUGAGACGCGAAAGCGUGGGGAGCGAACAGG
rnacentral:rRNA from 1 species